rnacentral:pre_miRNA from 1 species
AAUGUACUCCCUCCGUCCCAAAUUCUUGUCUUAGAUUAGUCUAAAUACGGAUGUAUCUAAUACUAAAAUGUGACUUGAUACAUCCGUAUUUAGACAAAUCUAAGACAAAAUUUUUGGGACGGAGGGAGUAUAAC